rnacentral:lncRNA from 1 species
CCACGAGGAGUUUACGACGAAAUUAAAAAAAUAAAGAAAGCGGGGCACGCUAAUUCCACGUAAGACUCUCUGAGUGAAUGAAAAUAAGGAAUUGUGGUUUGGAAUGAAAAUAAAGAUAUGGUUUGGAAUAUAUAAAGUAGAAGAUAAGGAAUAUGGGGUUUGGGGUUUUGGGUUUCGGGUUUUAGGGAUUUAAAUGGAAUACUCGUUAAUUCCUCGUAUGUUAACGUCGAACUUACGACGAAUUCCUCGUAAAUACCACGUAGGACAGAUUCGUCGUAAAUACCACGUAGGACAGAUUCGUCGUAAAUUACACGUAGGACAGAUUCGUCGUAAAUACCACGUAGGACAGAUUCGUCGUAAAUACCACGUAGGAGAGAUUCGUCGUAAAUACCACGUAAAGUAAAUGAUGAACGCGGCCCACUUUAAUUCCACGUAGGACGGAAUCGUCAUAAACACCUCGUAACCAAAAUCGUCGUAAACACCUCGUACCGUA